rnacentral:tRNA from 1 species
GAGGGUAUAGCUCAGUGGUAGAGCACGUGCUUAGCAUGCAGGAGGUCCUGCGUUCAAUCCCUAGUACCACCA